GACGAACGCUGGCGGCGUGCUUAACACAUGCAAGUCGAACGAGAGCGUAGAGAAAGCUUGCUUUUUCUACAAUCUAGUGGCAAACGGGUGAGUAACGCGUAAACAACCUGCCCUACGGAUGGGGACAACAGCUGGAAACGGCUGCUAAUACCGAAUACGUUCCGAAAGUCGCAUGACUAUCGGAAGAAAGGAUGGCCUCUAUUUAUAAGCUAUCGCCGGAGGAGGGGUUUGCGUCUGAUUAGCUAGUUGGAGGGGUAACGGCCCUCCAAGGCGACGAUCAGUAGCCGGUCUGAGAGGAUGAACGGCCACAUUGGAACUGAGACACGGUCCAGACUCCUACGGGAGGCAGCAGUGGGGAAUCUUCCGCAAUGGGCGAAAGCCUGACGGAGCAACGCCGCGUGAGUGAAGACGGCCUUCGGGUUGUAAAGCUCUGUUAUACGGGACGAAUAAUCUUGUGGUUAAUACCCAUGAGAAGUGACGGUACCGUAAGAGAAAGCCACGGCUAACUACGUG
rnacentral:rRNA from 1 species